UUGAACGCUGGCGGAAUGCUUUACACAUGCAAGUCGAACGGCAGCACGGGGCAACCUGGUGGCGAGUGGCGAACGGGUGAGUAAUACAUCGGAACGUGCCCAAUCGUGGGGGAUAACGUAGCGAAAGUUACGCUAAUACCGCAUACGAUCUACGGAUGAAAGCGGGGGAUCGCAAGACCUCGCGCGAAUGGAGCGGCCGAUGUCAGAUUAGGUAGUUGGUGGGGUAAAGGCUCACCAAGCCAAUGAUCUGUAGCUGGUCUGAGAGGACGACCAGCCACACUGGAACUGAGACACGGUCCAGACUCCUACGGGAGGCAGCAGUGGGGAAUUUUGGACAAUGGGCGCAAGCCUGAUCCAGCCAUUCCGCGUGCAGGAUGAAGGCCUUCGGGUUGUAAACUGCUUUUGUACGGAACGAAACGGUCUGCCCUAAUACGGCGGGCUAAUGACGGUACCGUAAGAAUAGCACCGGCUAACUCUGUGCCAGCAGCCGCGGUAAUACAGAGGGUGCAAGCGUUAAUCGGAAUUACUGGGCGUAAAGCGCGCGUAGGCGGUAUGUUAAGUCGGAUGUGAAAUCCCUGGGCUCAACCUAGGCAUUGCAUCCGAUACUGGCACACUAGAGUGUGGGAGAGGAAGGUAGAAUUCCAGGUGUAGCGGUGAAAUGCGUAGAGAUCUGGAGGAAUACCGAUGGCGAAGGCAGCCUUCUGGCCUAACACUGACGCUGAGGUGCGAAAGCAUGGGGAGCAAACAGGAUUAGAUACCCUGGUAGUCCAUGCCGUAAACGAUGUCAACUAGCCGUUGGGCUCCUUGAGGGCUUAGUGGCGCAGCUAACGCGAUAAGUUGACCGCCUGGGGAGUACGGUCGCAAGACUAAAACUCAAUGAAUUGACGGGGGCCCGCACAAGCGUGGAGCAUGUGGUU
rnacentral:rRNA from 1 species